AGUGAACGCUGGCGGUAGGCCUAACACAUGCAAGUCGAACGGCAGCACAGUAAGAGCUUGCUCUUACGGGUGGCGAGUGGCGGACGGGUGAGGAAUACAUCGGAAUCUACUUUUUCGUAGGGGAUAACGUAGGGAAACUUACGCUAAUACCGCAUACGACCUACGGGUGAAAGCAGGGGAUCUUCGGACCUUGCGCGAUUGAAUGAGCCGAUGUCGGAUUAGCUAGUUGGCGGGGUAAAGGCCCACCAAGGCGACGAUCCGUAGCUGGUCUGAGAGGAUGAUCAGCCACACUGGAACUGAGCCACGGUCCAGACUCCUACGGGAGGCAGCAGUGGGGAAUAUUGGACAAUGGGCGCAAGCCUGAUCCAGCCAUACCGCGUGGGUGAAGAAGGCCUUCGGGUUGUAAAGCCCUUUUGUUGGGAAAGAAAAGCAGCAGGUUAAUACCCCGCUGUCCUGACGGUACCCAAAGAAUAAGCACCGGCUAACUUCGUG
rnacentral:rRNA from 1 species